CACAGAUCCUCAAGUCUCAAGAUGGAUCACCUUUUUUAAAGACUCCAAGUGAAGGUUUAACUGAUGAAGAUCUGUCCCAUAUACUUUCAUCAAAGAACUAUGAUAAAACAUUCACAACAAUGUUAUGGCAUGAAGAAAUUAAAGAUGCACAGUCUGUUGGAAAAUUGCUUCAAGGGAAUGAAAUGUCUGCAGCAUCAUUUAUCUCACCCUCUGUUAAAAGAAGGAUGCUGGGUACUGACAUCUCAAAGGCUGAUAUUAUAGAAGAGAAUUUACAAACUAAGAUUGAAAAACAAACUUACAAAGAAGCAAGAGAAUUUCAAGAAUUAGAUGAAAAUCCUCUGCUUAAGAAUGAAACACCAUCAGAAACUGAAACUCGGUUGUUGUAUCAGGGAACUACUAGAACAAAUAGACGCAAUGGUAAGAAUUAUAGACAUCUUUAAAUUAUUUGGGCUUCCCUUGUGGCUUAGCUGGUAAAGAAUUAGCCUGCAAUGCAGGAGAGCUGGGUUCAAUCCCUGGG
rnacentral:lncRNA from 1 species